UCUGUGCUGCACGGUUUGCUAAGCAUGAGAUCACUUCCACCUUCAUCUCUGUGAACCUCCACGACGCAGGUAUCCAGGGUAGCAUUUGACGGCUUGCCCUCCGCUGGGGAGACCUGUAGUGUCUUACCCACACUGCGAAGAGGUGCCUAUAAAAUGCUCUCCACAGGUAAACUCAGAACAAUCCAGGCCAUUGAGGUCUUUGCUACAUAAAACUAUUUUAUGUAGCUCCGUGAAGGCUAUUUCUGGACAUUCAGGAAGACACAGAAGCUCGGUGCUUCUGAGUUGUAGGAGACAUGCGAAUCAUUCCCAACAUUGUCUCUUCGUUGAUACCAAGCUCAAGAAGAUGCCAGUGAGGGAAGGGCUAAAGGCGACAGCACGAACAGCAGCCAGCAGCGAGCCCGGAUGUGCUCCCCGAGGACAAGGAAGCCGUGAUUGUCUUGACAUCAGGUUUGGCUCUGAGCAAAAGCAGAAGCAGGCGCUCACGAGGAAGCGGAGGCUUUUUUCUACCUGAGUGGAGCAGCUGGUGAGGAAGUGACUCCAUUUCCUUCUCAUCGUUCGGCUGGGCAGGAUUUCCUCUGCAGCCGCGUGUGCUACAUGGGCCCUGAGGGUUCCCUCUGCAGACCAGGCUAGCUCUGCCAGAGGCUUGCUUGCAUCUGUGCCCUGCGACUCUGCUCCUUGAACCUUCUUUAUUCUCCCAAAACACUGAUUUCAGGUUUGAGAGAAAAGGAAAGGGGGAAAAAAAAACCAGCGGUGUGAACAUCAGGCCGAAGGCCGCACAGCUGCCUGGCCUUGGGUGGUAGAGGGACACGCACGUGAGAAGCGCCACUCUUCCUCCUCAGGGCCUCCAUGGCCUGGUCAAUGCAACUCAAUCUUGGAGAGGCUCUGGUCCCAGAAGGCAGGGCUCUUUGAAGGAUAGGCCAAAGACAUGCCUACAACAAAACCUAAUCUAAGCAUCAUUUGGUUGUAACUUGAAACCCGCUGGACCACUGACAAGAGAUGAGAAGCCCAUAUACAACAAUAGAUCUUGCCUGCCUGCAGUGGGUUGGGCCACAGAAGCCUGGGAUUUAUUUUGUUAUGAAAAUGUAUGUAGGACACAAAUGAGCUGGUGGGUCUCGGAGCCAAAGAGGGCGCAAGGUGGGAAUCGUGAAGACCGGCUCAUUUCUUGAGCAGAACAGUUUGACGGUAACAAAGGUAUCUGUGAGGGACUAGCAAUCACGCAGCCAGAAGACUGGUCAAAGGGCACCAGGUCAAAGGGUACUCAGACAUAUCCAGCUGCUACAGGAGUCUCAAACCCAGAGAUGGCCAAAGCCCCGGGCGGAACCUGCCUGGGUGAGGUUGAUGACAAAAGGGACUGAAGGCUCGAUCGGCACCCAGCUUUGGUAUCUAUCUCAUCACAAGCCUGCGAGUUCAUUUCGACACCAAACAGGAUUUUGUGGACAGCACUAAGAAGUCUUUAAACAUGAUUUAUCUCUAUCGUAUAAUUUCUUGGUAAUGUUCUAAAAACACAGGGUAGCUUUAAUGGGCAUAAGUUUUCUUAGUCCACUCAAAGCUUUUGGUACGUGUAGGCUUACUGAUCCUGUCGGGUCUUGGCCAGGGGACUUACAGCUCCCUGCAGGGCUUCAGGCGGAAGCACUUGUGUCGGUUGUUUUGUUAGUGUGCUAAGGUACCUGGCUGGAAGAGAGAACGGGUUUCUUUGGACACCUGAGUGGAGGAUGCUGUCCUUCAUGACGGGAAGGCGUGUCCACAGCGGCAGAAGGGUGAAGCUGCUUGCUACAGCCUGGCAGAGCAGGAAGCAGAGAUGAGGGACCUCCGGAGUGGGCUGGCUUAGAACUUUGGAGGCCCGCCUCCUGAUAAGCCCCGCCUCUUAAAGGUUCUCCAACCUCCCCAAACAGCCCCACCCACUGGAAACAAAAUGCUCAAACAGAUGAGUUUCUGGGGGCUUUAAACCAUUGUACAUUUAAACCAGAGUAGCCUUUUUUAUUUUUUUAAGGCGGUUCCACCCACUCUGCCCUCAGCAACCUGCGUUCUAGGGCUGUGGCCCUGGAAAGGGUUCUCCAUUUCACUUUCUGCAUUCAACUUUGGCCAGAGCCCUUCCUGGAAUGUGAUCAUUUCUAGCUUUGGAUUUACGACAUGUUAUUUUUGGGGGAGAAUAUCAGUUUCCGUUAUUGUACUAUGUAAGAAAGUAUGACGUGCAUGAAUCUUACUACAAUUGGAUCAUAAAAAGAUAGCCAGCCAAGCCAAAGGCUUUGAGUGGACAUUCCACUAAACAACCCUGAUGUGACCAAUAAGAACAGGAAAAUACACUUCAGAUUAUUAGUUGUUAGGGAACUGAGGCGAAACUACCAUAAGCUGGCACCUCAGAACUCCUAAGGUGGCUGCAAUUCUUAAAGUGGACAGUAACAAGUGUUGAUGACGGCGUAGAGUGUUGGAGCCUUCACGUGGCACUGGGAAUAUAAAAGGCUGUGGCCACGGAAGAAAAGUUUGAUGGUCCUCUAAACAGCGAGCUACCGCAUGAACCAAGAGUUCAGUAUAUAAUCAAUAUAACUGACAGCAUGUGCUAGUAUAAAACUGCACAUGAAUAUUCACAUCAGCAGUAUUUGAAACAGCCAAAGAGAAGACAUAAUCCAGCUAUCUGCUAACUGAUAAACAGACAAAAUACGGCGUGCCUACCCAGUGCAAUAUUAUUAUCCAUAAAAGGAAUGAGGCUCUGCUAUGUGUUAUGUGCCAGGUGAGCCUUGAAGCGGAGCUAAACAUGAAAGGUGUGGCAUAGAGGUUCACAUGCAGUACAGUUCUUCUUAUAGGAAAUGUCCCAAAGAGGUAUGCUUUAGAGACAGAAAUCAGAUGAAUGGUCGUCAGGAGUUAGGGAGAGGGAGGACUGUGGAGUAACUGUCAAUGUGCACAGAAGUCCUUUUAGAUUGAUAAAAAGAUGUGUUCUGGAAUUAAUUAGUGUAAUAAUUGUAACACCUUUUGAAUAUUUAAAAAAACAAUGAAUUGAUCAUUGCAAGUCAUAGGGAUUUCAUGGCAUAUGGGCUAUAUUUAAAAAAAAAAAAACAACAA